rnacentral:rRNA from 1 species
AAUCAACGCUGGCGGCGCGCUUAACACAUGCAAGUCGGACGAGAAAGCCGGGGCAACCUGGUGAGUACAGUGGCGUACGGGUGAGUAACACGUGGGUAAUCUACCCUUGAGUGGGGAAUAACGCUGGGAAACCGGCGCUAAUACCGCAUAAACCCGAGAGGGGAAAGCAGCAAUGCGCUGAAGGAGGAGCCCGCGGCCGAUUAGCUGGUUGGUAGGGUAACGGCCUACCAAGGCUGAGANCGGUAGCCGGCCUGAGAGGGCACACGGCCACACUGGCACUGAAACACGGGCCAGACUCCUACGGGAGGCAGCAGUGGGGAAUCUUGCACAAUGGGGGCAACCCUGAUGCAGCGACGCCGCGUGAGCGAUGAAGCCCUUCGGGUGU